rnacentral:rRNA from 1 species
UACGGGGGGAGCAAGCGUUGUUCGGAUUUACUGGGCGUAAAGGGCGCGUAGGCGGUCAGCACAAGUCAGUUGUGAAAUCUCCGGGCUUAACUCGGAAAGGUCAACUGAUACUGUGCGUCUAGAGUGCGGAAGGGGCAACUGGAAUUCUCGGUGUAGCGGUGAAAUGCGUAGAUAUCGAGAGGAACACCUGCGGCGAAGGCGGGUUGCUGGGCCGACACUGACGCUGAUGCGCGAAAGCCAGGGGAGCAAACGGG